ACACUUACCUUGUAGGGGAGAUUCCAUGAUCACAAGGGUGGUUUUCCCAGGGUGAGGCUUAUCCAUUGCACUCUGGAUAUGCUGACCCAAGCAAUUUCCCCAAAUAUAGGAAAAUUGACUAUGUAAUUUGUGGAAGUGGGGAACUGCAUUCACACUUUCCCCUA
rnacentral:snRNA from 1 species